rnacentral:rRNA from 2 species
CGAGAAAAACUUUAGCAAUGUGCGAAAGCACGACAAGGUUAAUCCGAGUGUUUUCUGCUAAAGAAAUCUUUUGUCAGUCCUAAAACACUGAUGAAUAAGGGUGGGCAAGUUCUGGUGUCAGCCGCCGCGGUAAAACCAGCACCUCAAGUGGUCAGGAGGAUUAUUGGGCCUAAAGCAUCCGUAGCCUGCUUUGUAAGUUUUCGGUUAAAUCCAUAUGCUCAACAUAUGGGCUGCCGGGAAUACUGCACAGCUAGGGAGUGGGAGAGGUAGACGGUACUCGGUAGGAAGGGGUAAAAGUCCUUUGAUCUAUUGAUGACCACCUGUGGCGAAGGCGGUCGUACCAGAACACGUUCGACGGUGAGGGAUGAAAGCUGGGGAGCAAACCGGAUUAGAUACCCGGGUAGUCCCA